rnacentral:rRNA from 1 species
AGUGAUCGCUGGCGGCGUGCUUAACACAUGCAAGUCGAGCGAAUUUCAGCAGUGUAUCGCUGAAGUUAGCGGCAGACGGGUGAGUAAUACUUGGGCAAUCUGCCCUUGAGUGGGAAACAACCGGCCGAAAGGCUGGCUAAUGUCCCAUAAGACCACAGGAUGGCAUCAUCCAGGGGUCAAAGCUCCGUAAGGGGCGCUUGAGGAGGAGCCUGAGGCCUAUCAUGGUAGUUGGUGAGGUAACGGCUCACCAAGCCUUUGACGGGUAGCCGGCCUGAAAGGGUGAUCGGCCACACUGGCACUGAGA